UUUGUUAACCUUUACAAAACAGUAAGCUAUUAUUCUCUUCCAGGAUUUUCAGUUUGAUCCAUUUACCCGUCCACUAGAAUCCUGCUGUGGAACUAGGUUUUUUCUAAUGAAAAAUAGCAAGAAGAAAGUAAAUCGCCGGCAUGUCGCCAUCAGACUCCUGGCCCUGUGUUUGAAAGUGCGUGCAGAUCCAAGCGCAGAUGUGUGCUGGCACCUAAACUGAACCUUCACUCACAUCAAAGACAUGCAAAAGGAGACUAAAUGGAAACUGUGGUUGUUUAAUGAUUAAGGAUGGCUUGUGCACCGGGGCGACAGCUGGGGUGGGAGCUGGCAACAGCUGAAACCAUAAAAUUUUCAUUCCUCAAGGAUAAAGAUGGAGAGAUGGCAAAAAAAAGGCAAUGUAUAAAGAGAGUAAAUGGGGUAAAUACUGAUUUCAUGUGGACAUUUAAAGACUGUUCAUAUAUUUUACAGGUCAGUUAGUUUAGCGGUUGCUUAAUUUGGGCUCUGGAAGUACACAAACUGGACACUGCCAUCCAUGCUUUUUGACCAAGUAAUGGUGUAGAUUUGGUUUCUACUGAAGCUUAUCAGCGAGUAGCUAAAGCUUCAGUUCGUGCAGCUGAAGGUUACUAUAACCAAAGUCUAAUGUGUGUGAUACACAGAUGUAUUACAGAGGCUUGGGAAUGUUAGCAGAUGUCCAGACCCAAGGCCUGUGAAAUCAGAGAGGAACCAGGGCAAUGGGGUAGAAGAAACAGACUCAGGCAGCAGGUACACUGGAGAGGAGUUUGAGGAGAAGCAUAUGUUACCAAAUUUCCGGAUAGGUCAGCAGUUUCUGUAGGUAGGAAACAAGGACCAAAGAGACCCAGAGAUAGGUUCUUAAGACUGAAUACUCUGUAAUGUGGGGUGCUUCUCAUGAAUAAGACAAAUGCUCCUCUUACAGCUCCCUGAGAAGUGUCCUACAGAGCCUGAGAAAUAAGCAUGACAAGGUGCUGAAGGAAAUCAAUAACAGUGAGAGAGUGGAGAUGUUCAUGGUUUUGACAUGCAAGUUCAGUGGGUGCCUUAUGUCAAAUUCAGACCUCAAAGAUAUGGAUCUUUUGUGACACAGAUGUCGUACAUUGCUAUUUAUGUUGCAUCUGACAUUUGUUACAUGCUACACCAACUGUUAUUUUGAACAGGCUUAUUUUAGUGAUUUGUUUUAACCAGUUUCCAAAGCAAACACUGCUUAAGGGUUA
ensembl:lncRNA